rnacentral:rRNA from 1 species
UACGGAGGGUGCAAGCGUUAUCCGGAUUCACUGGGUUUAAAGGGUGCGUAGGCGGAUAAGUAAGUCCGUGGUGAAAUCCUGCAGCUUAACUGCAGAACUGCCGUGGAUACUAUUUAUCUUGAAUGUCGUGGAGGUUAGCAGAAUAUGUCAUGUAGCGGUGAAAUGCUUAGAUAUGACAUAGAAUACCAAUUGCGAAGGCAGCUGGCUACACGAAUAUUGACACUGAUGCACGAAAGCGUGGGGAUCAAACAGG